UACGUAGGGUGCGAGCGUUAAUCGGAAUUACUGGGCGUAAAGCGUGCGUAGGCGGUUCGUUAAGUCAGCUGUGAAAGCCCCGGGCUCAACCUGGGAAUUGCGGUUGAAACUGGCGAACUAGAAUCUGGCAGAGGGGGUGGAAUUCCACGUGUAGCAGUGAAAUGCGUAGAGAUGUGGAGGAACACCGAUGGCGAAGGCAGCCCCCUGGG
rnacentral:rRNA from 1 species